rnacentral:rRNA from 2 species
CAGUCGAGCGAAUCGAUGGGAGCUUGCUCCCUGAGAUUAGCGGCGGACGGGUGAGUAACACGUGGGCAACCUGCCUAUAAGACUGGGAUAACUUCGGGAAACCGGAGCUAAUACCGGAUACGUUCUUUUCUCGCAUGAGAGAAGAUGGAAAGACGGUUUACGCUGUCACUUAUAGAUGGGCCCGCGGCGCAUUAGCUAGUUGGUGAGGUAAUGGCUCACCAAGGCGACGAUGCGUAGCCGACCUGAGAGGGUGAUCGGCCACACUGGGACUGAGACACGGCCCAGACUCCUACGGGAGGCAGCAGUAGGGAAUCUUCCGCAAUGGACGAAAGUCUGACGGAGCAACGCCGCGUGAACGAAGAAGGCCUUCGGGUCGUAAAGUUCUGUUGUUAGGGAAGAACAAGUACCAGAGUAACUGCUGGUACCUUGACGGUACCUAACCAGAAAGCCACGGCUAACUACGUGCCAGCAGCCGCGGUAAUACGUAGGUGGCAAGCGUUGUCCGGAAUUAUUGGGCGUAAAGCGCGCGCAGGUGGUUCCUUAAGUCUGAUGUGAAAGCCCACGGCUCAACCGUGGAGGGUCAUUGGAAACUGGGGAACUUGAGUGCAGAAGAGGAAAGUGGAAUUCCAAGUGUAGCGGUGAAAUGCGUAGAGAUUUGGAGGAACACCAGUGGCGAAAGCGACUUUCUGGUCUGUAACUGACACUGAGCGCGAAAGCGUGGGGAGCAAACAGAUUAGAUACCCUGGUAGUCCACGCCGUAAACGAUGAGUGCUAAGUGUU